UUUAGUCAAGCAAGACUACAAAUAGGUGAUCACAGAGCGUCGAUGCGGGACAGCUUGGAAAAAUCAGUGCUUUUUCGAGAUUGGAUCCGCGCAUAUAGAAGGAACUUUGGCCUAGCUGAAUCACAACCAGAAAUAGAUGAGUGCUAUGAGAAAUAAUAGCAGAACUUGAUCAGUAAGCAACUUCACCCGGAAGUGGUGAUGAACAAGCUUCAUUUCCACCACCGCCAACACAACCACCUCCAAACCUUGAAGGUUUUAUGAGAUUUGUUA
rnacentral:lncRNA from 1 species